AGAGCUUUGUUAUUAAGUUAUAGUCUCAGCUUUUUUGUUUUUUGUUUUUGUUUUUGGUUGGGGACUGAAAGAUAGCUUGCCCGUAAAAGCAAUUGCUACCAAGCUUGAUGACCUGCCCCAUUUGGUCUGAGGAUUCACAGAGGAUGAGACUGCAGCUCAGUGAUGGGUGGAGCCACACCUUGACCUGGACUGACCCGGACACAUCCCUCUGGACCUCUGCUUAAUCCUCAUGUCUGGACCCAGUAGAUGGAAUGGGGAAAGUAUAACCUCCUGUAUCAUCUCUGCUUCUGGACCUGCCCAGGUGUGAGGAAGCUCCAGCUGAGGAUUCUGCAGCUGGCACCAUGCGAAGAACUUUAACUGGCAGUCUGUUGCUGCACCUCCUCUAAGCAUUUGUUAAGAACUUGAAAAAAAUUAAAGCAUUCACUAAAAGAAA